UUGAACGCUGGCGGCAGGCCUAACACAUGCAAGUCGAGCGGAUGAAGGGAGCUUGCUCCUGGAUUCAGCGGCGGACGGGUGAGUAAUGCCUAGGAAUCUGCCUGGUAGUGGGGGAUAACGUCCGGAAACGGGCGCUAAUACCGCAUACGUCCUGAGGGAGAAAGUGGGGGAUCUUCGGACCUCACGCUAUCAGAUGAGCCUAGGUCGGAUUAGCUAGUUGGUGGGGUAAAGGCCUACCAAGGCGACGAUCCGUAACUGGUCUGAGAGGAUGAUCAGUCACACUGGAACUGAGACACGGUCCAGACUCCUACGGGAGGCAGCAGUGGGGAAUAUUGGACAAUGGGCGAAAGCCUGAUCCAGCCAUGCCGCGUGUGUGAAGAAGGUCUUCGGAUUGUAAAGCACUUUAAGUUGGGAGGAAGGGCAGUAAGUUAAUACCUUGCUGUUUUGACGUUACAACAGAAUAAGCACCGGCUAACUUCGUG
rnacentral:rRNA from 1 species